AACACACAAUGGAGUUUCCUCAGGGUCUAAAUUCCUACCACGCAGGGACUUGGGUCCUGGAGUGAGUGCAUGGAACUCUACUUUCAAAUUAGUUCUGCACAGCUAGGUCUAGUUGUCAGUCCUCCCCACACUGUCAUUUCAGCCACUCCUGAAUCCAGACCCUCACUGACCAAGAACUACUACAUUACUGGCGUUGGUGUUUGGAAGGGAUCUGAAGAAGGGGUCUAUCGGGGUGCACUAGGUACCUUAACUUCACGACUUACAUCAAACAUGGAGGUGGCAUUCGGUAAAAGUUCUUCAAAGGUUUUGAUUCUUUCCAGGCUCAUGAACUUGAAAGCAUUUACGUAUCUAAUGAAGAAACAGAAAGAAUUAUCAAGACAGGAAAAGGCAUCCAGCUCUAAUGAGUCAGGAGACCACAGGCACCAUAUCCCAGCUAAGAUGAACCAACACACCAACAGGAAUCACCUAACUCCUGAGGCCCCGAUCUCCCCGCCGUGACCCCUGGGAAUCCUGACAGCAUUGCCACUGCCUCCCGUGGUUGUCAAUUCACAUUCUGUAGGGUUGAGGAAACUCCCAGAGGGACCUACUCUGGUCCGUUGUGAAAUCAGAGAAUGCCAGACAUAGGAGAGACUGGAGGCAUCAUCUCGUCUGAGUGCCCAAUGGCACAGGAGAGAAAUGAUGUGCAGGGAAGUGGUAUGACUUUAUCAGGUGCUCUGAAAAGGAUGUGAGGUGGCAAAGUGACCUGGCAUGGCUACACGGCUAAAUAUUAUUUAAUGGCAUAAUCGA
rnacentral:lncRNA from 10 species